UACGUAGGGACCAAGCGUUGUUCGGAUUUACUGGGCGUAAAGGGCGCGUAGGCGGCAAGUUCAAGUCAUCUGUGAAAUCUCCGGGCUUAACCCGGAACGGUCAGAUGAUACUGCUUGCUAGAGUGGCAGAAGGGCAAUCGGAAUUCUUGGUGUAGCGGUGAAAUGCGUAGAUAUCAAGAGGAACACCUGAGGUGAAGACGGGUGCUGGGCUGACACUGACGCUGAGUGCGCGAAAGCCAGGGAGGCAAACGGG
rnacentral:rRNA from 1 species